rnacentral:rRNA from 1 species
GGCGGACGGGUGAGUAACACGUGAUCAACAUAUCCAUGGUACCGGGAUAGCCAACCGAAAGGGUGGGUAAUACCGGAUAAGACCACGGCAUCGCAUGGUGCUGCGGUAAAAGGUUUACUCCGACCAUGGAGUGGAUCGCGGCCUAUCAGCUUGUUGGUGAGGUAACGGCUCACCAAGGCGACGACGGGUAGCCGGCCUGAGAGGGUGGACGGCCACACUGGGACUGAGACACGGCCCAG